AAAAGAGCUCCCUAAAGGAAUACUCUGUCUAUUUGAAGCCAGAAGGAUACUAUCCAAGGAAGCCAAUUUGCUUUGAGCUGUAGAGCUGUACCAUAAUAAGUGUCAGAGAUUUCCGUGCUCUCCGCCCAUUUUCUCAAGAUUGUGGCCGCUGAGGCAAGCAUGCAUCACAAAGAACACUGCUGAGAUAUCGGAGAAGGACAGCUACAAGGUCAGGGGAUUUGAUCAGAACAUCCAUCAAUCUUCUGUAUUGUGCUUUGAUAUGACUACAGUAAAUCUCUGCUUCAUAAGGCUAAGCCUUAAGCUAUCCAGAAGCUUUGUCUCAGUUGUCACACAUCCUCAGAUGACCAUCCUACCAAAUGACCUCUUUUGUGGAUGGAAGUAAGUGGACUAGAGAGCCUCUGAUAAAAGCAACAGCUGAGAAAGUGCAAUUCUAUACUAAGAAAUCAACUCUACCUCUGCGGUGGUGGUAAUCUCUGUAAAGUUUGCUCAAUGCCAACAGUGACUUAACACAGAUCUUAUGAAAAAUAAAGUGACCCAAAUUCAUAACUGUUGUGAAUGCUUCACUGCUUAAAGCAUUUUUUCAUUAAGGUUGAUUUUAACUCAAGAUCUCCAUCUUAUUCUCUGAAUCCCUGAUAAUGACGUGUUUGACUGUCUCUCUAUAAAAGUCAGAAAACAUUCAGGCUUAGAUUUCAUCCACAAUUCAACAUAAUGGUCUUAAAUAUAAGAAGUGGGAUUAAGUAAGUUAGUUUUGAGAUCUGUUGUAGGUUUAGCCUUUCUUUAGCCCUUUUUCUUUCUUCUCUUUACCUGAUUUGUUCUCUUCCUGUUUAUUGUACUCUUGAAAGAAAGAAUAGCUCUCUGUGUUUAUUGUCCCUAUCAGUUUAAUGUCAGGUCAAAUCUGUAAUUUAAAAUGUUCCUUUUUUGUACUGGCCAAAAAUAAAAAAAAUAAAAUCCAAAACACCACAUCUUAUGAUGAUAUCAUUCACUUUCACUGAACCAUCUGGAGUUCUGGAGAUGAAGCUGCAAACUGUCAACAUCUGAUGGAAAGCAAGUAGAGUUCACUAAAAGGGAAUUUUAAGCUGGAGAAUCAUCCUGUAGAAAGUUUAGUGCAGUUCAAUGCUGGAGGAAGGAAAUCAUUAUCUAUCAAAGAACCUCCUGCCCCAAAGCCAUAGCAUUAGGACAUACCUCGUGCUGUGCCCUUGAAGAUUGUUCAAGUGCUAGAUUUCAGUGGAAAACAGAGUUUGAGUUUGCUUUUUUUUUUGUUUGCUAUUUGCAAAGCUUUUGUUCCAAACAAGAAAAAGAGCUCUAAUCUACCAUAUGAAAACUCCUUUAAUUGAAGGAAAGAAGGAGGACUAGUUUCUGUAUUGAUCACUCCUUUCACUAAUAAAACUGAUACACAUUUGAUUUUAUGUUAUGCAUAAAGCAAGUCAAUUCUGGGUUCCUGAGCUGUUCAUAACAAUGAUUACAUUGAUGACUUUGGAUAUAUGUACCUUUACACAAAGAUUUCCUUGAAUCAAGGCACUAAA
rnacentral:lncRNA from 1 species